GGCCUGAUGGCGUAGUUGGUUAUCGCAUCUGUCUAACACUGGAAAAUUGUACACAGAAGGUCUCAGGUUCGAGCCCUGGUCAAGUCA